ensembl:lncRNA
AUUUUGAGGCAACGGUUAGAAAUUUAGCAGCUUUUCUGCAUGAGCUAUCAUCACAAUCUGAUCGCCUCAGCGAUCCCGUUAAAAAAUAACCCAGAAGAACAAGGAAAAAAAACAUCUUUCUGUCAGAUUAGUUUGAGUCCAGUUCUCUGUGCUUGUGCAAAUGCUUCUGUUGGAACAAGGCAAGAGGAGCAGCAGGGGCCAAAGCUGCUGCAGAAAUUUUUUGGAAGGUUGUAAUGGAUUCUAGUGCUUCACAUUCACUUCCCCGAGCCUGACUUGAAGUUUCACUUCAUUGAUAUUAUAUGGUUUUGGGCCAAAAUGCAUUGCAUUGGAACAACUUUCUAGGAAUUAUAGGAGAUAAAUAUAAGAUAAUUUGGCUUUUCCCGAAUCAAAAUGCUUCUUCUUAAGUAAGAUUUCAAACAUUCUAUUCUGUUCCACGGAAGGUGCAGCUUGAUGAGAUAUUAUGCUGGCAUUACAAUCAGGAUAAAAAUGAAAAAAAACCUGUGAAACUGAAAUGUCUGACAAAUAGGCAGACAGGCAUUUCAAUAACUUAGAAAAUGAAUAAGAGC